rnacentral:rRNA from 1 species
AUGAGAAGCAUCAAGCGUCUCUCCUUGCUCCAGCAUCUCCUCUUCUUCUUCCUCUUCCUCUUCCUCAUCCUCGAUCUUUCAGAGCUUGCUACCGGGCAACAAGACCAAUUCGUCUACUCCGGUUUCGCAGGCGCCAACCUCGCCCUCGACGGCACCGCCACCAUCACACCAGACGGCCUGCUUGAGCUGACCAACGGCACCUUCCGGCUCAGAGGCCAUGCUUUCCACCCGACUCCAUUCUACUUCAGCAGGGCGCCCAACGGGACAGCGGUUCAGGCGCCUCAGUCCUUUGCUGUCUCGUACGUGUUUGCCAUCUACUGCAUCCAGGCCCAGACCUGCGGGCACGGCAUGGCCUCGGUCGUCGCCGCGAGCAGCAACUUCUCCGACACCAUGCCCACCCAGUACCUGGGGCUCAUCAACGACCACAACAACGGCGACCCAGCCAACCGCUUCUUCGCCGUCGAGCUCGACACCAACUGGAACGACGAGUUCAAGGACAUUGACAACAACCAUGUCGGGAUCGACAUCAACAACCUCGUCUCAGUGAAAUCCAGCAGCGCCGGCUACUACGACGACCGCGACGAGGGUAACUUCCAAAACCUGACACUCGCGAGCUACAAAAUGAUGCAGGUGUGGGUGGAGUAUGAUGGAGGUCGCAGGCAGAUCAGUGUGAGCUUGGCUCCAGUAGACAUGGCCAAACCCACCAAACCACUGCUCUCCACCACCUACAACCUCUCAACGGUGCUCCCAGACAUGGUUUACGUUGGCUUCUCUGCCUCGACGGGCUCAUUCGACUCGCGGCAGUAUGUGCUUGGUUGGAGCUUCGGCAUCAACAGGCCUUCUCCAGCAAUCGACAUCACCAAGCUGCCCAAGCUGCCUCGUCAAGGUCCGAAGCCUAGAUCCAAGGUAUUGGAAAUCGUACUACCAAUAGUUUCUGCGACAUUUGUUCUUGCUGUGGGCACUGUUGUCAUUCUUCUUGUGCGAAGGCGGCUAAGGUAUGCCGAGCUUAGAGAAGACUGGGAGACUGAAUUUGGGCCCCAUAGGUUUUCAUACAAGGACUUGUUUCACGCCACCAAGGGAUUUAAGAACAAGAAUCUACUGGGGAUUGGAGGAUUUGGAAAGGUGUACAAGGGAGUGCUUCCAAAGUCGAAAGUGGAGAUUGCUGUGAAAAGGAUCUCCCACGACUCUAAGCAGGGAAUGAAGGAAUUUGUGGCAGAGGUUGCGAGCAUCGGCCGCCUCCAGCACCGCAAUAUUGUGCAGUUGCAUGGCUACUGCCGGCGCAAGGCUGAGCUUCUUCUGGUGUAUGACUACCUGUCGAAUGGAAGUCUCGACAAGUACCUGUAUGAUCAGGAGAAGAAGCCCACUUUAACUUGGGCCCAGAGAUACAAAAUCAUCAAAGACAUUGCGUCUGCCUUGCUUUACCUUCACCAGGAAUGGGAGAAAGUUGUAUUGCAUCGAGACAUCAAGCCAAGCAAUGUGCUCCUCGAUGAUGGACUGAAUGGGCGGCUGGGUGACUUCGGCUUAGCAAGGUUAUAUGACCACGAGACUGGCCCUCAAACCACACAUGUUGUUGGCACCAUUGGAUACCUAGCUCCUGAGCUAGCACACACCAACAAAGCAACCCCACUUAGUGAUGUAUUUUCCUUUGGCAUGUUUGUUCUUGAGGUCACUUGUGGGCGGAAGCCCAUCGAGCCAACAUCACAAGGCAACCAACUCACCUUGGUCAGAUGGGUGAUUGACCAUUGGCACCAAGGAUUUCUCACAGAUGCAGUGGAUACCAAGCUCCGGGGUGCCUACAAUGUUGAUGAGGCAUGCCUAGCUCUGAAGUUAGGAUUGCUGUGCUCACACCCAUUAAUCAAUCUAAGGCCCAACAUGAGGCAGGUUAUGCAGUAUCUCAAUGGUGAUAUGCCACCCCCAGAUCUAAAUCUGACACACAUGAGCUUCAACAUUCCAUCCUUGAUGCAGAACGAAGUUUCCGUAGACGACUUGCGUGCAGCCUUGAUGGUGUAA